CCAGACUCCUACGGGAGGCAGCAGUGGGGAAUAUUGCACAAUGGGGGGAACCCUGAUGCAGCGACGCCGCGUGGGUGAAGGAGUACUUCGGUACGUAAAGCCCUAUCAGCAGGAAAGAAAAUGACGGUACCUGACUAAGAAGCCCCGGCUAACUACGUGCCAGCAGCCGCGGUAAUACGUAGGGGGCAAGCGUUAUCCGGAUUUACUGGGUGUAAAGGGAGCGUAGACGGCAGUGCAAGUCCGGAGUGAAAGCCCGGGGCUCAACGUGGGAACUGCCUUUGAAACUGGCAAACUGGAGUGUGUGAGAGGAUAGUGGAAUUCCAGGUGUAGGAGUGAAAUCCGUAGAUAUCUGGAGGAACAUCAGUGGCGAAGGCGACUAUCUGGCACAUAACUGACGCUGAGGAGCGAAAGCGUGGGUAGCAAACAGGAUUAGAUACCCGAGUAUA
rnacentral:rRNA from 1 species